UCCGGUUUGACACCGGCAGUCUCCCAUGAGUCCCCAGCCGAACUGCUGGCAACAUGGGAUAGGGGUUGCGCUCGUUACGGGACUUAACCCAACAUUUCACAACACGAGCUGACGACAGCCAUGCAGCACCUGUCACUGCGCUCCCGAAGGCACCAAGGUGUCUCCACCCAGUUCGCAGGAUGUCAAGGGGUGGUAAGGUUUUUCGCGUUGCAUCGAAUUAAUCCGCAUGCUCCGCCGCUUGUGCGGGUCCCCGUCAAUUCCUUUGAGUUUUAGCCUUGCGGCCGUACUCCCCAGGCGGGGAACUUAAUGCGUUAGCUGCGUCACGGAAUCCGUGGAAUGGACCCCACAACUAGUUCCCAACGUUUACAGCGUGGACUAC
rnacentral:misc_RNA from 1 species